UACGUAGGUGGCAAGCGUUGUCCGGAAUUAUUGGGCGUAAAGCGCGCGCAGGCGGUCCUUUAAGUCUGAUGUGAAAGCCCACGGCUCAACCGUGGAGGGUCAUUGGAAACUGAGGGACUUGAGUGCAGGAGAGAAGAGUGGAAUUCCACGUGUAGCGGUGAAAUGCGUGGAGAUGUGGAGGAACACCAGUGGCGAAGGCGACUCUUUGGCCUGUAACUGACGCUGAGGCGCGAAAGCGUGGGGAGCAAACAGG
rnacentral:rRNA from 1 species